UACGUAGGGUGCAAGCGUUGUCCGGAAUUAUUGGGCGUAAAGAGCUCGUAGGCGGUUUGUCGCGUCGAAUGUGAAAUCCCGGGGCUCAACCCCGGGUCUGCAUUCGAUACGGGCAGACUAGAGUUCGGUAGGGGAGUCUGGAAUUCCUGGUGUAGCGGUGAAAUGCGCAGAUAUCAGGAGGAACACCCGUGGCGAAGGCGGCUCUCUGGGACGGUACUGACGCUGAGACGCGAAAGCGUGGGGAGCGAACAGG
rnacentral:rRNA from 1 species